rnacentral:lncRNA from 1 species
CUCGCAGGGCUGACGCCUCCCCCUCCGGGGCGGCCCCUGUCCGCGGCCGCCCAGAUCUCACACUCACACCCCACACGCCAGGGCACUACACAGUCCCCCGCACGACCACACCCUCGCACCCUCACACGCAGACGGCAGCCCUGGACCCAGACACGCACUCUCCCCCGGCCCGCACACCUUGCACCCUUCCAGCGCGCGCGCGCACACACACACACACACACACACACACACACACACACACGCACGCAUACGCGCGCGCAUCAGCCCCAUCCACCCAGAGAAACAGCCACACAUGCUCCAGGUGUCCCUCACUCUGCUGCACACCCUACCCACUCUGUACAGACCCGCACCACACACAUCCACCUGCCCACACACACUCACCCUAUGUGGACAUACCCCAGAAACACACUAUCCCCCCCACACACACAGGACACUCUUCCACAUCGUAUACACACACCUCAGACAUCCGCCCAAGUGUAUACGGUCCACAUACUCAGAGAGAUGCAUGUGCAAGCACACCAGACCCACAUUUACCCACCCACGCACUCCACACAUACCCCACAGGGACCCCCACAACAUGGCAGAUGCCACGCACACACUGCACAGCUCAGGCACUCCAGGCAUGGAUGCCACAGCCCCUCGAGUGCUACACACACUGCCCUGCACAGAGUGACAGCCACACACUCUUAAGCGCAGAUGGAGUCCCCAACACCCCUGUGGGAACCACCCUCCUUCCCAGGACUCCCUACCCAUUAGCUCUACCUAGAGGGUCACUACAAGCUGACAAUCAUUCAAAGCUGCCCCCUCUCCCACCCCCUGGCAUGUGAGCCAGAUGGGAAGCGCCAUGUUGUGCUAGCCCCUGCCCUGCUCGCCUUCCUGGCUCUUGCUCUUCCCAGGCCCCAUCCGGAUGGGGCUAGCAGAGGCCUUGGCUAGUGGAUGUGUAAUCACCAUCACCAUUUCUAGCCCACUUGACUGUUCACCAACAAUAUCACCACAGCCACUUACUGUGGCCCGGGGCCAUUUCUAUGGCCUCAUUUGUAGAGAAGGAAACUGAGGUCCAAGAGGACCCAGCUUGUUAUGGCAGCACCGGGACUCCAACCCCAGGGCCUCUCAUCCCAACUUCUAUCCUACACCAAAAUCCUAGCCAGCAGCCAGGAAAGCGGGGCAGCUCCAGCCCAACCCCACUCCUGAAUCUAGGAGGAGUCCAGGAGGAAGCGUCAUAAGGGUUGGACCUUUUUGAGGCAGCUACCAGAAGGGAGCACCAAGCAGAUGCAGCUCCCCUUCCCUCCCAUUCCACCAUCCACUGUCCCCAGCAAGAACCUGCGGGAGGGUGGCCCAAUGGGGAGAGAAAACUAAGGAUUCGGUGUUGGGACCACUCCUGCCCUGACCUGCCCUGUGACUCCGUCAUACUCUCCAAAGGCCAGACCCUCCUAGACCAGCUGGAACCACCAUCAAGAUGUCCCCAGCCAUGUCAGACUCUGGGGCCCCAGGCGGAGGGCAACCAGAUGUCUUCAGCUCCAAGUCUGGCCUCUCCUCCCAGCAAGCAGCCAAGACUGCAGAGACCUUGGAAAGGAUCAACCAUAUACAAUGUCCAUUUCCUGCCCUCUAACCUGGCAGGGGAGCAAGGCCCAGCCAAGGAGGUAACAGAUUCCUCCAACACAAACCACACCUUCCUUCCCCACCCCCACCACCUCCACACCCAGCUGCCUCUGUGGGGACUUCAGGGGGAGAGUGCACACAGUGGGGCCUCAAAGGUUAUGUAGCUUGAAUAAAUGAUCCUCCAGGCCUGGGGAGCCUCUCCGCUCCCUCCCCCAUUUCCUCUGGGAAAGGAAUGUGGGGUGGGCCCCAGAGGGUGGUGGCGGAGGGGGCCCAGGGCUGGGAAAUACCAGGCGUAGCUGAGAUUCUAUUCCAAGCCUUCCUGCCUAGCAUGAGUCCUCCCCCCACGCCCUGCCCAGCUUCCUCCCCCUGCAUCAGAAAUUACCCUGCUGAGCUGCCCCUUCCAUCCCCCUCUAGUUUGACCAGCUUGCAUUACAGAAACUGAGGCUUGGCCAGGCGUGGUGGCUCACACCUGCAAUCUCAGCACUGGGAGGCCAAGGUGGGCAGAUCGCUUGAGCCCAGGAGUUUGAGACCAGCCCGAGGAACAUGGCGAAACCCCAUCUCUACAAAAAAUACAGAAAUUAGCCAAGUGUGGUGGCACGUGUCUGUAGUUUCAGCUACUCAGGAGGCUUAGGUGGGAGGAUCACCUGAGCCUGGGAGGUAGAGGUUGCAAUGAGCAGAGAUUGCUCUCCAGCCAGGGAGACAGAGUGAGACCCUGUCCCAAAAUAAAUUACUUUGGAGAGUCUUUCAGGAAUAUUGUCCCAGCUCCUGAAACCUUUAGGGAUCCCCAAGUUCUAGACUCUGGCCAAAGCCGGCUGCCUUCACCCCCACCAAGGGAGACCCCCACAAACCAAGGGAGCCCUGCUCUCAGGUGCACAGGGCCUCUUCUCUCUGGGAGGUGACAGUUUUUUGAGGGUGG